rnacentral:rRNA from 1 species
AUGUCAGGUUCCAGAGUCAGUUGGACUUCAUCAAUCGUGGGAGACGUGCCACCACAUCCGAAAAUACAACCACCAUCACAAGAGGUGCAAAGACAUCAGAAUGCGCAUAAUCAGGUUCUUGUUUCCAUGCCACCUUUUAAUGGUCGCUUUAAGCCUGAUUUAUAUAUUGAAUGGGAGUUCGAAAUAAAUGAUAUAUUUGCUUCCCAUAUUUUUUCUGAACAUCAAAAAGUUAAGUCCGCGGUUGGUACUUUCACUAGUUUUGCUACUGUUUGGUGGAGUGAACAUUGUCGGUUAUACCCUGAUUAUGUACCUAAUACUUGGGAUGAUUUAAAACUUGUCAUGAGAGAUAGAUUCGUCGAUGUUUAUUGA